rnacentral:rRNA from 1 species
AAAUUGAAGAGUUUGAUCAUGGCUCAGAUUGAACGCUGGCGGCAGGCCUAACACAUGCAAGUCGAACGGUAACAGGAAGCAGCUUGCUGCUUUGCUGACGAGUGGCGGACGGGUGAGUAAUGUCUGGGAAACUGCCUGAUGGAGGGGGAUAACUACUGGAAACGGUGGCUAAUACCGCAUAACGUCGCAAGACCAAAGAGGGGGACCUUCGGGCCUCUUGCCAUCAGAUGUGCCCAGAUGGGAUUAGCUAGUUGGUGAGGUAACGGCUCACCAAGGCGACGAUCCCUAGCUGGUCUGAGAGGAUGACCAGCCACACUGGAACUGAGACACGGUCCAGACUCCUACGGGAGGCAGCAGUGGGGAAUAUUGCACAAUGGGCGCAAGCCUGAUGCAGCCAUGCCGCGUGUAUGAAGAAGGCCUUCGGGUUGUAAAGUACUUUCAGCGGGGAGGAAGGUGUUGUGGUUAAUAACCGCAGCAAUUGACGUUACCCGCAGAAGAAGCACCGGCUAACUCCGUGCCAGCAGCCGCGGUAAUACGGAGGGUGCAAGCGUUAAUCGGAAUUACUGGGCGUAAAAGCGCACGCAGGCGGUCUGUCAAGUCGGAUGUGAAAUCCCCGGGCUCAACCUGGGAACUGCAUUCGAAACUGGCAGGCUUGAGUCUUGUAGAGGGGGGUAGAAUUCCAGGUGUAGCGGUGAAAUGCGUAGAGAUCUGGAGGAAUACCGGUGGCGAAGGCGGCCCCCUGGACAAAGACUGACGCUCAGGUGCGAAAGCGUGGGGAGCAAACAGGAUUAGAUACCCUGGUAGUCCACGCCGUAAACGAUGUCUACUUGGAGGUUGUGCCCUUGAGGCGUGGCUUCCGGAGCUAACGCGUUAAGUAGACCGCCUGGGGAGUACGGCCGCAAGGUUAAAACUCAAAUGAAUUGACGGGGGCCCGCACAAGCGGUGGAGCAUGUGGUUUAAUUCGAUGCAACGCGAAGAACCUUACCUGGUCUUGACAUCCACAGAAGAAUCCAGAGAUGGAUUUGUGCCUUCGGGAACUGUGAGACAGGUGCUGCAUGGCUGUCGUCAGCUCGUGUUGUGAAAUGUUGGGUUAAGUCCCGCAACGAGCGCAACCCUUAUCCUUUGUUGCCAGCGGUCCGGCCGGGAACUCAAAGGAGACUGCCAGUGAUAAACUGGAGGAAGGUGGGGAUGACGUCAAGUCAUCAUGGCCCUUACGACCAGGGCUACACACGUGCUACAAUGGCGCAUACAAAGAGAAGCGACCUCGCGAGAGCAAGCGGACCUCAUAAAGUGCGUCGUAGUCCGGAUUGGAGUCUGCAACUCGACUCCAUGAAGUCGGAAUCGCUAGUAAUCGUGGAUCAGAAUGCCACGGUGAAUACGUUCCCGGGCCUUGUACACACCGCCCGUCACACCAUGGGAGUGGGUUGCAAAAGAAGUAGGUAGCUUAACCUUCGGGAGGGCGCUUACCACUUUGUGAUUCAUGACUGGGGUGAAGUCGUAACAAGGUAACCGUAGGGGAACCUGCGGUUGGAUCACCUCCUUA